GCCUUUUUACACAAUGCAUAUGAGUGUUAUCUAAAUCUUAUAUUCUCCUGAUAAAUGUUUAUGCACACAAACGGCUCAGAUGACAUCCCGGGGGAUCACUUCAUGCCACUGCCUCCCAAUGAGAUGCAUGUGCAGCAGUGCAUUGCAUUGGUUUCUGUUCUCCACAACAUGCAAAAAGUGCAGGUGCAGCUCAGCAUCUCCAGCAAUACAACAAUAGAUGAUUAUCUAAAAGGCACUCAGGAUAAGACACAGGCCAAAUCCCCCUUAGCAUUAUUAUAUGAAUCUUAUUAAUAUCCUUCAAUCAAUAAUAUUCUCUUGAGAAUGUUUACGCACAUUAGUGGCUCAGAUGACAUCCAUGGGUUAAGAGAGGCCAUCCGUCAGGAGAUCACUUCAACCCGCCGCAUCCCAAUCACACUUUGCAUAACAUCACUAGAAUAUUCCUUCAGUCGCUCAUUUUCUCUAGAGAAUGUUUCCACAAUUACUGGAUGAGAUAUUUUGAACUGGCAGCACUGUGCGGGCCGGAGCACUUGGGAAACGGCUCUGUGUUGUGUGCGUUUUGUGCGGGAGGGCUAGGUUUCGCACAGGAAAUGAAUACGGGUCACUUCCUGCGUCCGUCAUGCAUUAGGGCCCAUGCCGUCAAGUCGAGACCACAUGGUGAACAUUUUAUGUAAAUCUAAUCAAAGUUGUGAAACGAGGCUUACCUCUGUUUGGCGGAUGGUGGUGCUAUCACUAUCACUAUGUACAGACUAAGAUCUGUUCAGGUCAAAAACACUCUUGUUUCUCUUCAGAUCGAAUAAAUCUCUCGCCUUUGCUAACAGUCUUAGACAUCAAAUGAAUCUAUGACCACAGACACUGUGACAUUAAAGCAAACUGACAAAGUUUGAGGUUAAUCUGAAGAAUGCUGCAGGAGGAGUUUGUUAAAAUACAUGUUACAUGUAAAAAGGCCAAAAUGGCCACCAAAAAUACCAAAAUGGCCGACUGCCUGUUAUUUUUCGUCCGGUCACGAUACACGUGAAGAUCGAAUUUCGUGAAGAUCGGUUAAACCAGGUGCAAACGCUGCGGUUUACGAUCUUGACAUCAUUUUUGCCCAUACCGCCCAGCCCUAUAGUUUGACAUCCUGUGUGUUUGCUUGUGUGUGUGUGUGAGUCUGUGAGUGAAAACAACAACAGACUUAAUGCAUCAAUAAUUUAGAAAAGAAUAAGCACUGGCGGCGCUCGGCAGAUUGGAUUUCCUCGGCCCUGAACUCAGUUUCUGCAGCACUAGAAUCCCACAAUAGAAGGGUCAGCCUCUCUUUCUCCCCUCGUCAAUCAAUUAAGCUAACGUUGUUAUUUUCCACUCAUACAUGUCGUUCUGAGGGAGGCGAGGAAUCGUAAAAAACGGCCCAGACACCAGGCAGUCAGUCAGGCUUAUGUGCUAUCAUCACUAAUGACACAUUAGACAUCCACUUUUCCAACGGGGGAGACAUAAAGCACAUGUGUUUACAGGAAACAGCAACAAUUACUGCAAUCUUUUUUUUUUUACUGAGGGUAUCUUGGUGUUAUUGUCAACUGGAGGCUUUUUGAUAUUGAUAUUUAAUAGAGGGAAACCUCUAGUUUUUGUUUAGCAAUUCACAGUGCAUCAUUCUAUCUCUGCACAAGAAACCUGCUCUGAUUUAAGGGGCUUUGACUCCAGCCUUUGGUAUUCAACACCAUGGCUGCAGAGUGUCCGCACAAGCCGGAGAGCAAAGGUCACAGUCUACCCAGACAAAAUGAUAAUGGGCAAACACCCUCUAUCUUAUCUCUGUGUGUAUAACCAGGCUUUUACCUGUUUACCAAAAAGUCACUAGCCUCACAAACCCCUCACAGGAUCAAUCAAGAUAUGAAGUGUCAUCGCUUCUUAGGGAAAUGACUAAGGAUGAUGCAAGUAGCGAGGGGCAGUGCACCUUAAACGAUAAUGUCAUCAUGUCUGCCGUCCCCUUAUACACCUUUCCCUCCUCUUCAUCUAGUUUCUGUGCUUGUAUAAAAACUAUUAGCGGUAUCUCUAAUCCCCCUGCCCAUAUCUCCACUAUUAAACCCCUGUACGAAUGAUCGAUAACGUUUCCCUCAGCAGCCCCACUUAGCCUUUGAUUCAUGCAGCCACCUCCGUACACACUGAUGAGUCAGCAGAAAAGCCCCUCAGCAGAGCACAACUGGGUCAAUUGCACGUGAAGCACCCGGGCUACAGCGAAACAGGUACCAUAGGUCUGAUGGUCUGAUAACCUGCAGCCGGAGAAGGUAAGAUUAGACCGAUCCUUCAUCGAGAAACCGCCUGAUCUCAUGCUCUGCUGCCCGGAAUCCAGCUGUGUGGUCAAGAAAGCAUUACCGACAGAUCUCCGUCUGACCGAGCGACCCCUGCGUCCCAUGGCCGUCCUAGUUUCCGAGGCGGCCUGCAGGCCCUAUCUGCGGGUCCUGGUUGACCUGGUGCCGGGCGUUCCCACCGGGUCCAUUUUCCACCGAAACAGAGCAGGACGAAAGGCAAGAAAGCCUCUUAGGAGUCCGGCUGAACGAGCAUGAUAAUCCCCUCUGUGUCUGCACUGCAACUUCACCUGCUGCUAAUCCAUAACCAGAUUAUCCUACAGAUUAAAUAUCAUGCAAUGCAAGGCCCCGACAUGCAGCUUCUCCUCUGCCCCUGCUCCAAACCCAGCUCAUGUUGUCAUACAUGCAUGCAGCAGUGCUCAUGUACAUGUCUAUUCAGGCAUGUGUUGUUUCACUGAAGCAUGCAAAUGUGCUGCAUAAAGACCCCCGACAUAUGUGGUCAGCCCACUAUCUACAAGCACGUGCAGUGAGAGGGUUGAUUCCUGCUCAGCGUCCAUCACUCCAGGCCCAGAGGAGCUACAGAUUUUUCAGGGUCCAGAGCUGCACGGCUACGUCUUAACCUUUUCAGACGAGAACCAGAGGCCUUCAGUGACUAGACAGUGUAGCUCUUGAGGGCCGGGGGUCGAGAGACAGCUGCUCCGAACUGCUUCGCACGGCAUGGCCACAUGCACCUUGGGACUCAAACUGGGCGUCAUCCAGUCUAAUUCGAGCGAAACUCACUUUUGUCCAGCCUGUCUGUGAGGCGGGCACACAUGUCAGCGCCGGCGCCCUGGCCUGGGUCGGGCAGUUCAGAAGCCUCCUGCCUAAUGGUGGUCAACACUAACUGCUCUGUGGGCACCGGAGAGGCGGCGGCGGGAGGAAACAACACACACAAGACAACAAACACCUGCAGUCUGCUCGUUCCAGCAUCGCCAACCGAGGCUGGAGGGUAAACACCGGCACAGACGAGCUAACUCCCCCCCACAUGCAUGCCGCAGUCCCGGGCAGCUCCCGUUCCAUCACAUCCCCCAGUUAAUAUGCCGAGCACAUAGUGAGAUACGCACGGUUCUGUGCAGGCCGCUCCAUCAGGCCGGAUUCCACCAGGGAGACCGACACGACUUUACUUUGACAGCUCGCGGCUCAAGCAGGGAAACUCCAACACAUGAAAUAAAGGUCGUGUCUGUUUACCUCCCUCGCUGUGGAUCUUCUUGGCUCUCCGGUUGAAAUACAUCUUGCUGCUGGAGGACGAGUGUCGGUGAGGCUGGGGCGAGGAGGCCGGAGCGGAGUCAUGCUCAUGGCUCCCCCACAGAGCAGGAGACCGCCACCGCUGCUGCUGCCGCUGAUGCUCCGGACCCGGGAUGAGGCCGCUCCUCCUCCGCCUCCUGCUGCUGCUGCUGCUCACGGGUCAUUAUUUCUCGGUUGGAGGUGAUGUGCUUGAGGACGGAGUCAGUCACCGCUGAAACAGCAGGAGGGAGAUGGGGGCGACUUCCGGCUUUCAAAACAAAGCGCGUCCUAAUAGAGACGAGGUGGAUUUGCUCCCUCUCCAGUGUAUCUAAUAAAUGCAAACUCAAUUUGGACUUGUUUGCUUUAUCUGUUUCAAAGUUCAGAUAUGUAUUUUGUAUAAAAUUCUCAACUGCGAGGACAGUUUCAUGGUACAAAGCAUGGAGAUGUCCACCUCUGUUUUAGGAAAUUGAGGGGGUUUUACACUACAAAUAUUAAAACGAUUAAAUUACAAAUUCAUUGGUGAUUAAUUACUGAUGUAAAUUGUUUGUUGCGGCCCAACAUUAACCAGGAAAAUAUUUUAAGCUUUAUUUUGAAAGCGACUGCUCGCUCUCUUCUGACUUUACCAAUCAGAUGCCCAUCGCUUCAGCAGAGGAGCGCGCAUCGGAUGAUGGGAUGCGUGCGCGCACCCGGGCUUUGGACGCAUGUUCUCCAGGCUUUUAAACAUUUAGAGCUAAAGGACGAAUCCCGUUCUUUAUUACUAGUUAUAUGAAAAAUAUCUGCUGACCUUAUUUGCUUUUGGGUAAUCUGAUAUAAGCUCAGGCUAGCUGAUUAUUUUACAUUAACUAAUGUGAAAAACAUACAUAACUGUCACUGUUCAAUAACCACAAGUGAAAAUCUUAGCUAUUCUAUAUAAAUAAUUUUUUUAGCAGUGCUAUGAAUUCCUUAUCAUUAAACUGACUCAGUAUUGUCA